UCGAACGGAACGCCAAGGAAAGAGUUUUCGGACAAUGGAAUUGGUUGUUUAGUGGCGGACGGGUGAGUAACGCGUGAGUAACCUGCCUUGGAGUGGGGAAUAACACAGUGAAAACUGUGCUAAUACCGCAUGACAUAUUGGUGUCGCAUGGCACUGAUAUCAAAGAUUUAUCGCUCUGAGAUGGACUCGCGUCUGAUUAGAUAGUUGGCGGGGUAACGGCCCACCAAGUCGACGAUCAGUAGCCGGACUGAGAGGUUGGCCGGCCACAUUGGGACUGAGACACGGCCCAGACUCCUACGGGAGGCAGCAGUGGGGAAUAUUGGGCAAUGGGCGCAGGCCUGACCCAGCAACGCCGCGUGAAGGAAGAAGGCUUUCGGGUUGUAAACU
rnacentral:rRNA from 1 species